AUUGAACGCUAGCGGCAGGCCUAACACAUGCAAGUCGAGGGAUAGACAUCUUCGGAUGUUGAGACCGGCGCACGGGUGCGUAACGCGUAUGCAAUCUACCUUAUAAUAAGGGAUAGACCAGAGAAAUUUGGAUUAAUACCUUAUGGUUAAUAAAGCCGGCAUCGGUUGAAUUAUAAAGAUUUAUUGGUAUAAGAUGAGCAUGCGUCCCAUUAGUUAGUUGGUAAGGUAACGGCUUACCAAGACGAUGAUGGGUAGGGGUGCUGAGAGGGAGAUCCGCCACACUGGUACUGUGACACGGACCAGACUCCUACGGGAGGCAGCAGUGAGGAAUAUUGGUCAAUGGACGGAAGUUUGAACCAGCCACGCCGCGUGCAGGAUGAAGCAUCUAUGGUGUGUAAACUGCUUUUGUACGGGAAGAAAAAAAGCUACGUGUAGUUUACUGACGGUACCGUAAGAAUAAGGAUCGGCUAACUCCGUGCCAGCCGCCGCGGUAA
rnacentral:rRNA from 1 species